AUACGUAGGGGGCGAGCGUUGUCCGGAAUUAUUGGGCGUAAAGGGCGCGUAGGCGGCGCGGUAAGUCUGGAGUGAAAGUCCUGCUUUCAAGGUGGGAAUUGCUUUGGAUACUGCCGCGCUUGAGUGCAGGAGAGGUUAUCGGAAUUCCCGGUGUAGCGGUGAAAUGCGUAGAGAUCGGGAGGAACACCAGUGGCGAAGGCGGGUAACUGGACUGCAACUGACGCUGAGGCGCGAAAGUGUGGGGAGCAAACAGGAUUAGAUACCCUGGUAGUCCACACUGUAAACGAUGAAUGCUAGGUGUAGGGGGUAUCGACCCCUUCUGUGCCGCAGUCAACACAAUAAGCACUCCGCCUGGGGAGUACGGCCGCAGGGUUGAAACUCAAAGGAAUUGACGGGG
rnacentral:rRNA from 1 species